AUGACUUUGAGCUCCAUCCUCAUCUGGACUCUCCUCUGCUGCUGCUUGACAGAGUCCAGAGGCCAGGUCACAGUGACUCAGCCUGGAGCAGUGAGGGCUGCUCUGGGAGCCUCCGUCACCAUCACAUGUAAAACCAGCCGGGAUGUUUAUGUUGCUAGUGGCGACCAACUUUUAGCCUGGUACCAACAGAGAGAUGGAGAAAUUCCUAAACUCCUCAUUUACUAUGCUAGUACUCGAGAAUCAGGGAUUCCAGGUCGUUUUACAGGCAGCGGAUCAGGGAGUGACUUCACUCUGACCAUCAGGGGAGUCCAGGCUGAAGAUGCAGCAGUUUACUACUGUCAGAGUUUCCACUCUAUCAACAGUAAAGGAGUGUUCACACAGUGA